UAGAGUUUGAUCAUGGCUCAGAUUGAACGCUGGCGGCAUGCUUUACACAUGCAAGUCGAACGGUAACAGGGAGCUUGCUCCGCUGACGAGUGGCGAACGGGUGAGUAAUAUAUCGGAACGUACCCAAGAGUGGGGGAUAACGUAGCGAAAGUUACGCUAAUACCGCAUACGAUCCAAGGAUGAAAGCAGGGGAUCUUCGGACCUUGUGCUCCUGGAGCGGCCGAUAUCUGAUUAGCUAGUAGGUAGGGUAAAGGCCUACCUAGGCGACGAUCAGUAGCUGGUCUGAGAGGACGACCAGCCACACUGGAACUGAGACACGGUCCAGACUCCUACGGGACGCAGCA
rnacentral:rRNA from 1 species